UACGUAGGGGGCUAGCGUUGUCCGGAAUUACUGGGCGUAAAGGGCGCGUAGGCGGCCUGUUAAGUCGAACGUGAAAUCCCCGGGCUCAACCCGGGAACUGCGUCCGAUACUGGCAGGCUUGAAUCCGGGAGAGGGAUGCGGAAUUCCAGGUGUAGCGGUGAAAUGCGUAGAUAUCUGGAGGAACACCGGUGGCGAAGGCGGCAUCCUGGACCGGCAUUGACGCUGAGGCGCGAAAGCCAGGGGAGCAAACGGG
rnacentral:rRNA from 1 species